rnacentral:rRNA from 1 species
AGAGUUUGAUCAUGGCUCAGGACGAACGCUGGCGGCGUGCCUAACACAUGCAAGUCGAACGAAGCUUGAUUUCUGAUUUUUUCGGAAUGACGAAUGAUAUGACUGAGUGGCGGACGGGUGAGUAACGCGUGAGCAACCUGCCCUUCGGAACGGGAUAGUGUCUGGAAACGGACAGUAAUACCGUAUAACAUAUAUUGAUCGCAUGGUUGAUAUAUCAAAACUGAGGUGCCGAAGGAUGGGCUCGCGUCUGAUUAGAUAGUUGGUGGGGUAACGGCCUACCAAGUCGACGAUCAGUAGCCGGACUGAGAGGUUGAACGGCCACAUUGGGACUGAGACACGGCCCAGACUCCUACGGGAGGCAGCAGUGGGGAAUAUUGCACAAUGGGGGAAACCCUGAUGCAGCAACGCCGCGUGAAGGAAGACGGUUUUCGGAUUGUAAACUUCUGUUCUUAGUGAAGAAUAAUGACGGUAGCUAAGGAGCAA